CCGAGAAAAAUGCGAUGAAAAAUGUGAGAAAAGCAAAGCGAGUACGCAAAUGUUUCUCUCUGCAUAGGAAGGAGAGGAGAAAGACGAACAAGUUGGACUGAUUCGAAAGAAAGCAUUCCUUAACACACACUCUGCCUCUCUCUUUCUUUCUCUUUGGGUCGUAAUCCUUGUCGUUUUAUUAUAUUCCUCUGCGGUGCGGCCAAUCAACCAACCAGCACAAGAAACAUAUUAUGCAGAGGUCGUGGAGUGGUAGUGUUUGGCGUAAGACAUCGACAUCGUUAUCCUUGACGCCCGACAACAUGGACUCCGACCAACACCUACCCACAUACGAUCCCCUCUCCCACGUUGCCCAGAGAGACCUCUCUCGUCUCAGAUCAGCUCAAAACGCCGUCCAUCUUAUCCCUCUCCUCGUUCUCCUCUGCGCCGUCAUCCUCUGGUUCUUCUCUGCUCCCACUUCUUCACCCAACAACCACUCUUCAUAAAUAAAUCAAGAUUUGAUGGACUAUUUCAGACUAUGGUCAACGUUUGAUUCAUUAUACACGGAGGUCAGCGUAUAUGUAUGUAUUAGGUUGACUUUUCUACGAGUCUCGUGAAGGAAGCUACAGUGAAGAAAAUCAGACCUGAUGCCAGAAGAAUUUUUUUUUUUUGUCAUAUAUCAUGUACUUGCCCUGGAAUCUAGAUAGAAAAUUUAUCGGAUUGUGUUGUAAUAGAUUGGUGUAUGUUUAUUCAUUCAGACCCUCUUCAAUUUUGACUCUAUUACAAAACUUUUUUGCUUUAUUCGAAGGAAA